GUCGUGAGAUGUUGGGUUAAGUCCCGUAACGAGCGCAACCCUUGUCGUUAGUUACCAGCUCGUUAUGGUGGGCACUCUAAGGAGACUGCCGGUGACAAACCGGAGGAAGGUGGGGAUGACGUCAAGUCAUCAUGGCCCUUACGGCCUGGGCUACACACGUGCUACAAUGGUCGGUACAGAGGGUUGCCAAGCCGCGAGGUGGAGCUAAUCUCACAAACCCGAUCGUAGUCCGGAUCGCAGUCUGCACCUCGACUGCGUGAAGUCGGAAUCGCUAGUAAU
rnacentral:rRNA from 1 species